GAGUUUGAUCCUGGCUCAGGAUGAACGCUAGCGACAGGCCUAACACAUGCAAGUCGAGGGGUAACAGAUGAAGAGCUUGCUCAGAUUGCUGACGACCGGCGCACGGGUGAGUAACACGUAUGCAACCUACCUUUUACAGAGGGAUAGCCCAGAGAAAUUUGGAUUAAUACAUCAUAAUAUUUUUAACUCGCAUGAGUUUUAAAUUAAAACUUCGGUGGUAAAAGAUGGGCAUGCGUUCUAUUAGUUUGUUGGUGAGGUAACGGCUUACCAAGACUACGAUAGAUAGGGGUUCUGAGAGGAUAGUCCCCCACACUGGUACUGAGACACGGACCAGACUCCUACGGGAGGCAGCAGUGAGGAAUAUUGGUCAAUGGUCGAAAGACUGAACCAGCCAUGCCGCGUGAAGGAUGACGGCCCUAUGGGUUGUAAACUUCUUUUGUAUGGGAAGAAAAGCAGUUACGUGUAAUUGUCUGCCGGUACCAUACGAAUAAGGAUCGGCUAACUCCGUGCCAGCAGCCGCGGUAAUACGGAGGAUCCAAGCGUUAUCCGGAUUUAUUGGGUUUAAAGGGUGCGUAGGCGGCUCUAUAAGUCAGUAGUGAAAUCUCGAAGCUCAACUUCGAACGUGCUAUUGAAACUGUAGAGCUUGAGUACAGACGAGGCAGCGGAAUGUGUUGUGUAGCGGUGAAAUGCUUAGAUAUAACACAGAACACCGAUAGCGAAGGCAGCUUGCCAGACUGUAACUGACGCUGAGGCACGAAAGCGUGGGGAGCGAACAGGAUUAGAUACCCUGGUAGUCCACGCCGUAAACGAUGAUUACUNNUGUAGGCGAUACAUUGUCUGUGACUGACCGAAGUAUAAGUAUCCACUGGGGAGUACGUCGGCACGAUGAGGAAUUGACGG
rnacentral:rRNA from 1 species